rnacentral:tRNA from 1 species
ACCCAGGUGGCUUAGUCUGUUAAGCAUCUGCCUUCAGCUCAGGUCAUGACAAGGUUCUGGGAUCAAGCCCCAGAUUGGGUU